rnacentral:tRNA from 1 species
ACCUGGUAGGCUUAGUUGGAAGAACAUGUGACUCUUGAUCUCGGGGUCAUGGGUUCGAGUCCCACAUUGGGUG